GGCGCGGCUACAUGGGGAAUGGGAGCUGUGUUACUACCUCCACCCUGGCCCGCCAGCGUCUGGACGAAGAACCGCCGCCAGACCAGUUUGUUAACAUCCCUGCAGUAACCAAAAACAUGAGCUGGAUAAGGAGGAGAAGAGGAGCUGGCCGAAUGAUUUUUAAGCAGAAGCUGAAUGUUCAAUAAGAAUAGAGUUGACACCUUCAGAGGAGAAGUAAGAAAUAGUUUUCCUGUGUGUCAUUACUUCUCAGAAUGCUAACCCAGAAGCUACCUUUACCUAUGCUAUGUUGAAGUACAAGCCUGGUCUGCCAACCUCAGAUGUUUCAGUAUUAUCACAAAAGAACAACUUGCCUGGAAGAAAGAACUAGAAUCUGGGAAUCCUGCUGGGGAAAGAGCAGAUAUAUUGUUUUAAACUGUGAUCAGAUGAAUAUAUUAGGACUCAGAGAUAUUGAGAUCUCAGGUCACUCUAUGAAAGACUCGUCUUCAAUUUGGGUCAUCUGAAUUUAUAGCCUGACCUCCUUUUAUUUAUACCACAAGCACCCAUUAUAAAAGCAGAAAAGGAAGAACUGGAGGCUGGAGUGCAAUGGCACGAUCUCAGCUCACCGCAACCUCA
rnacentral:lncRNA from 1 species